GAUCGAAGCACCCCGUCGGAAUUUAAAGUUUUGGAAAUGUUGCAGAUUUUCUGCAAUAAAUUGCAGAAAAUCAGCCACAUUUCCCAAACUUCAAACUCUCAUCUCUCUCUCAUCUCUCAACCGAUUUGGGUGAUCCAAAAGGCUAAGUUGUGAGAUUUUUCGAGGGCAACGUGUUGGUGAGCUCGGAUAGUGAUUUGGAGUCCCCGUUUGAGCGGGGAAGCGUUUCGAGACCUUUCGGAAAGGAAAAUCUCCGGAGGAGUGAUUUUGGAGCGCGUGUGAUCGGCUUUAAGGUCCGGGCACUAGUAGCCAGCGUUGAUCGAGCUUGGAGCAGACUGAUCCGGAG